GACGAACGCUGGCGGCGUGCUUAACACAUGCAAGUCGAACGCUGAAGCUUGGUGCUUGCACUGGGUGGGUGAGUGGCGAACGGGUGAGUAAUACGUGAGUAACCUGCCCUUGACUCUGGGAUAAGCCUGGGAAACUGGGUCUAAUACUGGAUACGACAUGUCACCGCAUGGUGGUGUGUGGAAAGGGUUUUACUGGUUUUGGAUGGGCUCACGGCCUAUCAGCUUGUUGGUGGGGUAAUGGCUCACCAAGGCGACGACGGGUAGCCGACCUGAGAGGGUGAACGGCCACACUGGGACUGAGACACGGCCCAGACUGGUACGGGAGGCAGAGGUGGGGAAUAUUGCAGAAUGGGCGGAAGCGUGAUGCAGCGACCCCGCGUGAGGGAUGACGGCUUUCGGGUUGUAAACCUCUUUCAGCGCGGAAGAAGCGAAAGUGACGGUACGUGCAGAGAAAGCGCCGGCUAACUACGUG
rnacentral:rRNA from 1 species